UCUAACGUGACAGAUCAUAUGUAAUGGAUUUAAACCCCAUUUAUAAAGGAAAAUCCUUUCUUUAGAA
rnacentral:tRNA from 1 species